rnacentral:rRNA from 1 species
AUUGAACGCUGGCGGCAUGCCUUACACAUGCAAGUCGGACGAGUGGCGAAGGGGUGAGUAACAUGUCGGAACGUACGGAGUAAUGGGGGAUAACUAAUCGAAAGAUUAGCUAAUACCGCAUAUUAGUCGGGCGGCCGAUAUCUGAUUAGCUGGUUGGUGGGGUAAAGGCCUACCAAGGCGACGAUCAGUAGCGGGUCUGUGAGGAGGAUCAGCCACACUGGCACUGAGACACGGCCCAGACUCCUACGGGAGGCAGCAGUGGGGAAUUUUGGACAAUGGGCGCAACCCUGAUCCAGCCAUGCCGCGUGUCUGAAGAAGGCCUUCGGGUUGUGAAGGACUUUUGUCAGGGAAGCGGUACCUGAAGAAUAAGCACCGGCUAACUACGUGCCAGCAGCCGCGGUAAUAC